UACGAAGGGGGCGAGCGUUGUUCGGAUUUACUGGGCGUAAAGGGCGCGUAGGCGGCCCUCCUUGUCGCGUGUGAAAGCCCCGGGCUCAACCUGGGAAUUGCGCGCGAAACGGGGGGGCUUGAGUUCGGGAGAGGAGCGUGGAAUUCCCAGUGUAGAGGUGAAAUUCGUAGAUAUUCGCAAGAACACCAGUGGCGAAGGCGGCUCACUGGACCGUUGUUGACGCUGAGGUGCGAAAGCGUGGGGAGCAAACAGG
rnacentral:rRNA from 1 species